UACGUAGGGUGCGAGCGUUGUCCGGAAUUAUUGGGCGUAAAGGGCUCGUAGGCGGUUUGUCACGUCGGGAGUGAAAACUCGGGGCUUAACCCCGAGCCUGCUUCCGAUACGGGCUGACUAGAGGUAUGCAGGGGAGAACGGAAUUCCUGGUGUAGCGGUGAAAUGCGCAGAUAUCAGGAGGAACACCGGUGGCGAAGGCGGUUCUCUGGGCAUUACCUGACGCUGAGGUGCGAAAGCGUGGGGAGCAAACAGG
rnacentral:rRNA from 1 species